AACGAACGCUGGCGGCAUGCCUAACACAUGCAAGUCGAACGAGACCUUCGGGUCUAGUGGCGCACGGGUGCGUAACGCGUGGGAACCUGCCCUAGGUUCGGAAUAACUCCCCGAAAGGGGUGCUAAUACCGGAUAAUGUCUUCGGACCAAAGAUUUAUCGCCUUUGGAUGGGCCCGCGUUGGAUUAGCUAGUUGGUAGGGUAAAAGCCUACCAAGGCGACGAUCCAUAGCUGGUCUGAGAGGAUGAUCAGCCACACUGGGACUGAGACACGGCCCAGACUCUCAGGGGGGGAAGAAGGGGGAAAUAUGGAAAAAGGGGCAAAGGCUGAACCAAUCAAGGCCGGGGGAGUAAUGAGGCCUUUAGGGUUGAAAAUCUUUUUUCCCCGGGAGGAAAAGGACAGAGCGGGGAAAAAAAGCCCGGGCUAACCCGGGC
rnacentral:rRNA from 1 species